AACGAACGCUGGCGGCAGGCUUAACACAUGCAAGUCGAGCGCAUCCUUCGGGGUGAGCGGCAGACGGGUGAGUAACACGUGGGAAUCUACCCAACCCUACGGAAUAGCUCCGGGAAACUGGAAUUAAUACCGUAUACGCCCUUAGGGGGAAAGAUUUAUCGGGGAUGGAUGAGCCCGCGUUGGAUUAGAUAGUUGGUGGGGUAAAGGCCUACCAAGGCGACGAUCCAUAGCUGGUCUGAGAGGAUGAUCAGCCACAUUGGGACUGAGACACGGCCCAAACUCCUACGGGAGGCAGCAGUGGGGAAUAUUGGACAAUGGGCGCAAGCCUGAUCCAGCCAUGCCGCGUGAGUGAUGAAGGCCUUAGGGUUGUAAAGCUCUUUCACCGGAGAAGAUAAUGGCGGUAUCCGGAGAAGAAGCCCCGGCUAACUUCGUGCCAGCCGCCGCCGUAAAAC
rnacentral:rRNA from 1 species